AGGCUUGGUGAUUUGCGUCAGAGGUUCGGUCUCCAUCCAUUUCAUGAAGUAGUCGAUCGCGAUAAUUAUAAACUUUCUUUGGCCAAACGCCGAAGGGAAAGGGCCGAGUAUGUCGACCCCCCAUUGGACGAAGGGCCAUGGGGCGACGAUAGAAAUCAGCGGGCUGGCGGGUCGGUGUUGCAAAUUGGUGUACUUUUGACAUGGUUCACACUUUCGAACCAA
rnacentral:lncRNA from 1 species